rnacentral:rRNA from 1 species
UACGGAGGGUGCGAGCGUUGUCCGGAAUUAUUGGGCGUAAAGAGCUUGUAGGCGGUCUGUCGCGUCUGCUGUGAAAAUCCGGGGCUCAACCCCGGACCUUGCAGUGGGUACGGGCAGGACUAGAGUGUGGUAGGGGAGACUGGAAGUUCCUGGUGUAGCGGUGAAAUGCGCAGGAUAAUCAGGAGGAACACCAAUGGCGAAGGCAGCACUCUGGGACGUGACUGACGCUGAGACGCGAAAGCAUGGGGAGCAAACAGG